rnacentral:rRNA from 1 species
GACGAACGCUGGCGGCGUGCUUAACACAUGCAAGUCGAACGGGAUCCGGGCUUUCGGGGUUGGUGAGAGUGGCGAACGGGUGAGUAACACGUGAGUAACCUGCUCCCUUCUUUGGGAUAACGUCGGGAAAUCGGCGCUAAUACUGGAUAUUCUUGCUGCAUCGCAUGGUGGGGUUUGGAAUGGGUUUCUGGGGGGGGAUGGGCUCGCGGCCUAUCGGCUUGUUGGUGGUGUGAUGGCCUAUCGAGGCUGUGACGGGUAGCCGGCGUGAGAGGGUUUCCGGGCACACUGAGAAUGAGACACCGCACAGAGACCGACGCACGGCCGCGGUUGGGAAGAUUGGAAGAGGGGGGGAAGACUGAAGCAGGGACGCCGGGUUAGUGAUGCCGUGCUGCGGGUUGUAAACCUCUUUUAGUAUGGAACAAGGAUUCUUCCUGUGGGGAGUUUGACGGUACCUGCAGAAGAAGCUCCGGCUAACUACGUG